rnacentral:lncRNA from 1 species
GUUCCACUUCCUUCUUCUCAACUUCUCCUGUAUGGCAUCUUUCUGAACUUAUCUGAUGUAUGCUUGAAUCAAUCUGCUCCUCAGAAUCCUUGGAACUUCCGAUUUUGAAUUUGUUAGCACCCCCUUCAUGUUCCCCCAAUAGGCUCUGGUUCUCAUUCUGCACAUCCUUAGCUGGAAUGUGUUGAUUGAGACGCUCUUCACUUGAACUGCUGUCUUCAGCAGUUAUCUGGUUUUGAGUGUCAUUGUCCUCAAUAUCCUCUUGAUCUGCUUCAGAGAAACUCUCAGAUGAAUCAGAAAUUUGGACACCCAUGGACAAUUUGACAUUGACAACUUGCUCUUCUUCUUUUAUAGUGGAAGUAGUGACAACCAAUAUUUGAUCAGUUUGCGUCUCCCUGGACUUCUGGCCUUCAUUUGUUCCAGCGUUGCCUAUCUCAUCCAAAGUCUGAGAAGAAACAUUUUGACCUUGAAGCAACUCAGUUGUGUCUUUGGCUCGAAGUGAUUUAUCUUCUUGGUGACCUUUCAAAGCUUCAGUUGUUACAUUAGUAUUGCAAUCUUUUUCUGCAUCACCAAGUAGAGGAUUAUUUUCAAAGAUACCAUGCUCUGUUUCACAAGGUCCAUCCUCCUGAUUAUUCUCAUCGACUGCUGUUGAUUCCACAAUUGACUCCAUUGAAGUUGAAGCAGUCACAGCAACAGUUGAACCUUUCUCCAUAUCUUCACUCUUCUCUUCCACUGUUGUUGGUCCCUCAAAUGCAUAUUCAAUGGAAAAAAGUUGGUUGUCAUAAGUUAUAUCACCAGCCACUUGGGCAGUCUCAAGGAUCUCCCAAGUCUGUAGCGUUCCUUCACUUGUGGAAUCACUAUCACUCCAAUGUGUGAUAGAGGAGGCGGUUUCUUCUUCAAAGAGUUCUUGCAAUACCUCAUCAGCUAGAAUCUCCUCAGUGCAGUUGCUAAUUAUGUCAUCUGAUCUCGUGAUAUCAGGUUCUUCAGUCAAAUUAAACUUUUUGAUGUCUGACAGGCACUCAUCACUGAUACAAGAUUCUUUGUCAGACUUGUCUAAAUAAUGAGCUUCUAUAUCAAAACAUGAGGUAGGCAAUCGCCCCUCCUCCCACUCCAUAUCAGUAAUGCUAUCAUCUUCCUCCAUGUUUGCAUGGCAUUCCCCUUCGGUUUGAUUUUCUUUGUCGUACUUUUUUGUUUUUCUUCCUCCUUGAGCUGGGUAGUCUGCAUUCACAUCUGCUGUUUGUUCUGCAAGAAAGUCCCCUAUCAUACAACUAUUACUUUUCGAUCCAUAGUUUUCCUUGAAAUCAGUCUCCAGGUGUGGCAAUGCAUUCGACAGGUUCUCAUCAACUUGCUCCAUGUUCUCGUGUUCAGCUGUUUCUUCUUCGCCACCACAUCUAUUGGGUUCUCCAGUAAAACUGUUGGUUCCCACAUCAUCCUCUCCCGUGUGCUUUUC